GAUCCUUAAAAAUUAUCUUUAAUUGAUGCCAAGUAUGAACAGAUGAACAAGUACAGAAGCAGGUAAAAUUGCAUAGAUGAAAACUAUGCAUUUCAAAUAGUUCAAGAACUCAUAACAUUAGAGGUUCUAAAAAAGGUAAGUCAAAUGAUUUCACUACUGGAAGUAAAAUGAGCUGUAAUGACAAUGAAGUACAUACUUGACCCAAAGUGUAAGCGAUUUGUAAAUGGUGGAAAUAAGUACAGCUGUGUCAGCUUAAAUGGUUUGCUGCCCUGAUGGUGCACUUUCAUAUGGAGACGAUUCAGUUUAUAUAUUUCACAUUGGUAAUAUUUGAUCUUUAAAAUCAGAGGUAUGUCUGAGAGGCCAUAUACAGUUCUAUCAACAGCUGUUAUUUAUUCAUUUCAAACCGACAUACUGCAAAAACAAUGGUUUACAUGUAAAGGAAAGGAAAAAAAGAUUUCAUCUUAGCAGGUUAUAGGUAAGGGUUUGCUGAAUUUAGUCAUAAAAAUAUCAUUUUCACUUUUGUACAAAAGUAAAAUAUACAUUUGAUCCCAAUUACAUUAUAGAAAUGUCACUGAAACAAUAACAUGGAUCAAAGACUGAUGCACCUAAAGGAACUGAAUGCAACGUCUUCAUUUUAUUAUAGAAACUAGAAAUGGAAGAUGAUUUUUUGUUUUAUAACUUGUAGUGGCAUUUGCUAGAGCAUGUGAAUAGGUGAAAUAUACAGAAUUACAUAGAUAUUAACAGAUACUUUGAGACAAAUUUCAAUUAAGACCUCAGUUUCAUUUCAUUUCCUUUAAAAAUAUCAAAGCUAUGCCUUGACAACAUAAAAUGUUGACCUCACUGGUGACAAGUUCACUUGUACUGAGUGAAACGGUAGAACACCCUGAAGUUUCAUUUUUGCAGAUACAAAUACUGACACCUUUAAGAAUACUUGAUAAGCAUUUCAGGAAAAAAUCAAUUCUCUACACCUGAUUAAGUAAAGCCAGAACAACAGAAAACAGAAGAAGAAACUCAGUCUGAAAUAAGUUCAACCAAAAUUGAAAUGUAGGUCCCUGGUUAAAGCAUCUCAGAAGAGAAGCCUGUUUCAGACUUGCCAUAGGCAGGACUGGAACAAACUUGCCAUGUUGUGCAAUUGCAAGGACAGCUUUCCAAUUCCAUCCUGCUCUGUGGCUGUGGAGGGUAAAUCACACUUUAGAGCUCAUUCUGCAUUCCUGUGAGUCUGAAAUCAGUCUGAUGAUCAGUGCCAUCAGGCUGCUGGAAGCCUACAGGAUCAGACCAUUCCCGGAAAAACUGCAGUACUUCCCUCUUCUUUAUGUUAGGGGAAAUUAAUUAAUCCAGAAUGGCACCCCUCUAAAAGCAGUUAUCCAGCUAAUAUUUGGAGAGGAAUUUAUUCUCUCCAUAUGUUACAUAUGUAUGCAGAAGAUCUUAUUCUAAAAUACAACUUUCUGCCUUUUCCUAAUAAAUUUCAGAUGUUCCUGUCCUAGUGUUUAUUUUGGUUAAUGUGUGUAAAUGAAAAACUGCACUGCCCAAGUGAGAACUAUGGAAAAGUGAAACUUGCCCUCAGUUCCUUUAAAAAUACUUUAAAAUAAGCAGGUUUUUAUGUUAUACAUGGGCUUCAGCUCUCUUAUAAUAGAAACAAACUUUCUGUACUUCUGUCUAAUGAAAACAAUUGUCUCUUAGUAAAAAAUGUGUCAAUAAAAGUUGCCACUGCUCCAAUUAUUGAUUUGGACCAAUGCAGCCUCUAAUGAAUGGUGCAUAGCUGAUUUGCUAAGAAAUGCCUGAAAUCUCUACUUGGGUGAAGUGGCUGCUGAAAACAAGUACUUUUGCUCAAUUUUGUCCUGUCUCUAGUGCUUUGUACUGUCUUUCAAGUGCUUGUCCACAUAAUCAACAGUACGCCAGGUUAAGCAUGUGCAGUUAGAGACUUUGUAAGUGGAAAUUAAUUUUUUGGGGCCAUGAUCAUUGUCAACUUCUCAGAAGGCAGCAUGAUUGACUUUCCUCACACCUACAAAUGUGUAAACCAUGAACAAAGGAAGGAAAUCACUAGAAUUGUUACCAUGUUAGUUCUCAGUAAGCCAGGCUGUGAAUCUCCAGCACUCACAUACUAAGAGUUUAGAGGCACAUGGCCAAGCUCUGCCCAGCCACCCCCUGCAAAGUAGGGUCAGUUCCAUUACAUUUAAUGAUUACUAAAGGCUUAUCUAUCUGAAUGAACUUGUGAGGCAGAUGAGGUAAACUGCAUUAAGCCCCAUUGUGUUCAGAAUUAAAGCAGCCUUAAUUUAAUUCAUCUUACUUUCCUUCCAAAAAGAAUGACUCUGAAUCAGAUUAAGGUUGCUUUUAUUCUGCAACAGAAUGUCCAUGCUGGGCUUUAAAACAGUUUAACAAAUCUACUUUAAAUGCACACCUUUCAUUAAUUCACAUUAGCUUUCCUGAAGUCCCCAGUGGAGAUAAGGCUUAAGAGACUCCAUGCAAGGGAAUCUGCAUGGGUUUGCUAGUAUGCUGUGAACUCACACCCUGGCUUACUGCACGCUAACUUCCCUGUGAAGACAAGUAAAUCCAUUUUGUUGUCUCUGCUGAACCUGCCGCACAGAGGAUUUGAUCUCUUGGCAGUCAGGUAGCAACCUCAUAGUUCAGUGAUGGAAGGGGCUACAGAGCCUUUCAUUUCCACUCUCCCCCUUGCUCCUCUGCCUGUUCUCUAGUGCUCUGUAGCUAAGUAUGGUAGGACCAGAUGGGGAAUUCUGGCAGUGAUACCAGCCUAUGGGAUUCCCGCCCACUGCCUCUCCAUUUCAUUCCUGCCUCUGCACUGCAGUGCACUGCUGCCUUGCUCAUGCCAGAUAAGUUCCCUCAUCCUUUUCACUGUGUGGGUGAGGAAAAAGCUGUAUUGGGGCAACUAAAAAGCAGAAGAGGCAUAGAGCAGUGGCUGGUAAAGGAGGCUUAGGUAGUGACUCCUUAUGCUGGAAAAGCUGCCUUGCCUCAUCAAACCACAGCCCAGCUAAGACUGCCAUAUCCACUGGUUUCUCUGUCCAGCAUAGCAAUGGCAUGGCUUCUGGGAGCUCCCUACCAAAUGAAUGAAGGUCUCUUGACUCUUUCAGAGAUGCACUAAAUUGGCCAUCAGCUUAUUUCCAGUGCUUGUCCACUGACAUAAACAACCCCAUAGAGCUCAUGUGUGGCAAAAAGAAACAUAUGCCAAAAUGGGGUGGAAAAAAGUAAAAGAAGGGGGUUAAAAAAAAAAAAAAAAAGGAAGAAAGAAAUAAAAAGAAAAGGAUGCAAACUGGUAAGAACAGACAGUUAAGUGCACCUUCAGGCCCACAAAGACAUUUCAGCACUCCUGCGUAAACGGAGUAAGAGCUUUUGUUGUUAUCUUCUUGUGUCAAACUUGUCGAAAAGACAUGCCUAUGCUACAUGAGGUUAAUUGCUGCAUGCAGCACUUUUCUCUUUACAGAUGCAGAAUGAUUAUCAUUCUGUUCAUUAAACUAAGAUGUCCCUGCCCAACUGUGGCAGAAGUUGUUACCAAAAUGAGGCCUUAUCUCCCAGAUGCUAAUUUCUGACCAUCAGUCCCACAGCACUGAAUAGAUUAUUGCUGUUUAGUUUAGUCAGUUGGUUGUUUUAUAAGCUGAGUGCAGCAUUCAAGUCUGUUUUGACAUGAGAAGUCAUAUCCUAGAAUUCAAGUUUGGGAGGAUCAGGACCACCAGAAUUUAAUGGAGAGAGGUGCACAAUGGGCAGGGGUGUGAGCAGGGGACAGGAAGAAAGCUUUACAACAUCUACCUGGAGGAUGUAAUGCCCUGUUUUAUUUGAUGCUUUGCAUUUCUUGCGGGAGUUAAAAGCUCCCUCAGUUCUUGAUUGUUUUCUCAUCAUUAAGAUUCACAGAAGCCACACAGUGAGAAAUAAAGUCAAGUCUUUCUGAAAAUCUGGCAGGUCAAGCUUGUGCGUAACUGCAGAGUUAGGGUCAGUUUUUAACUCUAAGUGCCUUGAUUUUAUAUAUAUGUGUCUGCACAUGUGUGUGACACACAUGCAUAACCAUACAUAUAUAUUUAUUUAUACACAUAUAUAUAUCAGAAAGAUAGGGGAAGAAAGGAUCUGUACAAUGUGGAAGGAGAAGUGUUCCACAGUAGUUGGCCACAUGCUAUGUGCAGAAUGAAGAUCCUCAACUUUGUCCAUUUAAAAAAUAAAGAUUAGUGCCUACAUUAGUUCAGAUCAAAGAUUAUUAUCUUCCAGGGCCUAGCAGUCAAGGAUGGCAUACUGCAGAAGAUACCUUCUCCUAGAGUGGAUUCCUUCACCAGAUGAUGGUAGAAGUAAAGUAAGUUUAGUGACCAGAAAGAAGAACAUGGUUUAAAGGAGCUCUGAUGGGAUUUAAGAUCUGAUGGACUGACGAAAGAGGAUGGAGGAGGCAAGUAUGGGAGGGCACUGGAAAGCCUCUCCCACCUACAUGCUGGGGAAUCCAAGGGAAAGAAAAGCACAGCCCUGCAGUCUGGUUGCCUGACUGGGUGAUGUCGCAGUUCAUGCUGAGCCCUAGUACCUUCUGCAUCCUGCAGCCUCUCCCAAGCUGGGACAGGCUGCCAAAAAGCCAUCUCAGGGAAAGGAAGGGCAGAUACAAUGAUGGCAGCUAUGUCUCUAUAAACAACCUUGGGGAACUCAAAGUCUUGCAUAAACACAACUAUGAGUUAUUUGGCAGAAGCAAAUGCUGAGCCCUGCAAUAUCAGACUGGCUGGGGAAGGAAGGUAUCCCAUGGGCGCUGAUGGUCUCUGCCCUCUGCUCCUGCAUCCCUCUCCCUCACUCUUGCUCUUUCUUUCUCUAUCCUGUCCUGUGCAGUGCCAGGAGGCAGCACAGAACACUCCAGUGCUUGUGUUGGUGCCUUUUAACCCUUUCCUUUGCUAUCUCUGACCAGCUCAGUUCCUGGAGGCACUUUCAGCAAUUUAGGGGAUGUAAGGUAAAGGCACUGCGCAACUACCUAUAUCAAUCUGUUGAGUCUCUUCGGUGAGUUUUAGGGGAAUACAAAAAAGUCUCAACCAAUGACUGCAAAAGAAACCAGCUGCUGCAAUUUGGAUGCAUAUAAUAAAUAUUUUUCAUUUACAUUCUGAGAAUGCUCCAAAAAGCAUGCAUCUGCACCUUUCAACUAUAAAGGAUACUAGGUUUUAGGUGUUGUUAUAUAUAACUUGACUUCUUAAUUUUCCAUAUAGCUUUCCCUUUAAGGGAUGGGAUAUCUUCCUUUCCGACAAUGCCUGGACAAAAGCCAACACGUUUCCCUGAGCAAUGCAGGAAAACAAUCAGGUUUCUCUAAUCAGUUCAUUCAGGCCUUCGGUCUAUCAAGCACUUUUUUUUUUUUUGUUAUUAUUAUUGUUAUUAUUAUUAUUGAAUUCAUGCAUUAAUUAAUUCAAGUUACACCUUAAUCAAAUAGGCCAUAAUGCUGAAUAUUUGAACAUGCUUUGAUCUCCAAAAGUUAUUGUUCCCAUUUGACUAACAUAUGCAUUUAAAUACAGUACUUUAAAUUACUAGUCAACGAUUUAAUAAAUUAAGGAGUGCACUUCUGGUGAAUGCAAAUCAAAAAGAAAAAGAAAAAAAAACAAAAGGAAAGAAAAAAGAGAGAUAAA
rnacentral:lncRNA from 1 species